GGGGAUGCUGGUGUGGGCACCCUACAUGCUAAAAUUGGAACAAUACUGAGAUGAUGACCGUGGCCUCUGUGCCACGGUGGCACGCACAUUUGUGAAGUGUUCCAUGUUUAG
rnacentral:snRNA from 2 species